rnacentral:rRNA from 1 species
UUACGGUCAAAUCACGCUGAAACACCGGUUCUCGUACGACCACCGAAGUUAAGCAUCGUAGAGCCAGGUCAGUACUUAGAUGGGGGACCGCUUGGGAACACCUGGUACUGUAAG